rnacentral:rRNA from 1 species
GUGGGGAAUAUUGGACAAUGGGCGAAAGCCUGAUCCAGCCAUGCCGCGUGAGUGAUGAAGGCCUUAGGGUUGUAAAGCUCUUUCAGUAGGGAAGAUAAUGACGGUACCUACAGAAGAAGCCCCGGCUAACUUCGUGCCAGCAGCCGCGGUAAUACGAAGGGGGCUAGCGUUGUUCGGAUUUACUGGGCGUAAAGCGCACGUAGGCGGAUUGGUCAGUUAGAGGUGAAAUCCUGGAGAUCAACUCCAGAACUGCCUUUAAUACUGCCAGUCUAGAGUCCAGAAGAGGUGAGUGGAACUCCUAGUGUAGAGGUGGAAUUCGUAGAUAUUAGGAAGAACACCAGUGGCGAAGGCGGCUCACUGGUCUGGUACUGACGCUGAGGUGCGAAAGCGUGGGGAGCAAACAGGAUUAGAAACCCGUGUAGUCC